rnacentral:tRNA from 1 species
AUGAGAUUAAGUUAAUUAGACUGGAUAUUUUCAAAAUAUUUAGUGGUUUAGGCCAUUUCAUG